UUUUUAGGUCACCUGAGUAACUCAGGUGACCUAUUGCUAUCCGUUUUCGUCCGUCGUCGUGCGUCGUGUGUCGUGCGUCGUGCGUCGUGUGUCGUGUGUUAACAUUUGAACAUUUUCAGCUUCUUUUCUGAAACCACUGAACCAAUUUCAACCAAAUUUGGUAUACAGCAUCUAUGGGUAAAGGAGAACAAAAAUUGUGAAUUUCAUGGUCCCCGCCCCCCUGGGGCCUAAGGGGUGGGGCCAAAACCACUAAAAUUAUUGCAAUCUUUAAAAAUCUUCUUCUUUACUCAUGGACAUUGAGCAGGCAAACUGUUAGCAUGAAUGUAAUAAGCAUUGAGUCCUCUACCAAAAUUGUGAAAUUCAUGGCCCCAGGGUCAGGGGUUCUAGUGCUAGGGCGGGGCUAUAUAGAUUGUAUAGUGAAAAUGCAUUAUUUCUUUGAAAAUCUUCUUCUCUGCUCCUGGGUAUUAAAUAAACUAUCUAAGUACAUAGUUAUGAUUAGCAAGAGUGCCUCUUCCAGAUUUUUGAAUUUUAUGGCCCCAGGGUCAGGGGUUCUGGUGUUAGGGCGGGGCUCUAUAGAUUAUAUAGUGAAAAUGCAUUUAUUCUUUGAAAAUCUUCUUCUCUGCUUCUGGGUAUUAAAUAAACUAACUAAGUACAUAGUUAUGAUGAGCAAGAGUGCCUCUUCCAGAUUUGUGAAUUUUAUGGCCCCAGGGUCAGGGGUUCUGGUGUUAGGGCGGGGCUCUAUAGAUUAUAUAGUGAAAAUGCAUUUAUUCUUUGAAAAUCUUCUUCUCUGCUUCUGGGUAUUAAAUAAACUAACUAAGUACAUGUACAUAGUUAUGAUGAGCAAGAGUGCCUCUUCCAGAUUUGUGAAUUUUAUGGCCCCAGGGUCAGGGGUUCUGGUGUUAAGGCGGGGCUCUAUAGA